rnacentral:tRNA from 1 species
ACCGCUGUAGCUCAAUGGAUAGAGCACCUAUCUAACUAAUGGGAGUGUAGGGGUUCAAGUCCCCUCAGCGGUAC